GACGAACGCUGGCGGCGUGCUUAACACAUGCAAGUCGAACGGAAAGGCCCUGCUUUUGUGGGGUGCUCGAGUGGCGAACGGGUGAGUAACACGUGAGUAACCUGCCCUUGACUUUGGGAUAACUUCAGGAAACUGGGGCUAAUACCGGAUAGGAGCUCCUGCUGCAUGGGGGGGGUUGGAAAGUUUCGGCGGUUGGGGAUGGACUAGCGGCUUAUCAGCUUGUUGGGGGGGUAGGGGCUUACCAAGGCUUUGACGGGUAGCCGGCCUGGGAGGGUGACCGGCCACAUUGGGACUGAGAUACGGCCCAGACUCCUACGGGAGGCAGCAGUGGGGAAUAUUGCACAAUGGGCCGAAGCCUGAUGCAGCAACGCCGCGUGCGGGAUGACGGCCUUCGGGUUGUAAACCGCUUUCGCCUGUGACGAAGCGUGAGUGACGGUAAUGGGUAAAGAAGCACCGGCUAACUACGUG
rnacentral:rRNA from 1 species